GUGACGCGUGGCGGCAGUGGCGGCAAGUUUACUGGUUGUCCGCGGUCGCCAUGUCGAGGGAUCGGCGACGGAACUCGAACGGCUACUCCUUGAUGGCAAAUCGGUUCAGGGCAGAAACCGUUCACCCGGCAGCAGAGUGAAGCACCCGCUCUCGCAUGUCGGCGGAAGAGCAGCC
rnacentral:SRP_RNA from 1 species